rnacentral:lncRNA from 1 species
UCGCAAAGAUUAACUUCAACAAAUAGCUCAAACAAUAAACGUGUAAAUUCCGGGACCAAAAAGCUGUACUCACAGUGCGCAUCACAUACAGGUAAAAGGGCAAAAUGGCAUACAGGUAAAAGGGCAAAAUGGCAAUUCUUCCAGAUUCAUCCUUUUCAAACUUCAUGAAAUUAGAUGGGCUGAAAAAGCGCCGACAUUUGGGGCCUAUUUGCUCUGUACAUACUGAGGCUAUGUGACAAAAAUCUUCAUAAUUCAUCUACAACAUGAUAAUCCCAAAGAUAAAUUAGGUUAAAGUGAUAAAAAUAUUAGGCCAUGGAACAAAACAUUGUGGAAUAAAUCUAGCUUAACAAAUGCAUCUACCAAAAACAAAUACCAAGACAUCACGUUAUAAGCAACGCUUAGCAUAACUUCCCAGUAUCUGAUAAUGUUAAGCUAGGACAUUCUUAAAUGAAAACAAAUGCAGAUUUAGUAACUGAAAUAUAGAAUCCUGCCAAACAUAUUAACAACAUAUGGUGUAAUGCCGAAACAGAUUGGCAAAGCAAAUCUUCCAAACCU